rnacentral:rRNA from 1 species
UGCCAGCCGCCGCGGUAAUACGUAGGGUGCGAGCGUUAUCCGGAAUUAUUGGGCGUAAAGAGCUCGUAGGCGGUUUGUCGCGUCUGUCGUGAAAGUCCGGGGCUUAACCCCGGAUCUGCGGUGGGUACGGGCAGACUAGAGUGCAGUAGGGGAGACUGGAAUUCCUGGUGUAGCGGUGGAAUGCGCAGAUAUCAGGAGGAACACCGAUGGCGAAGGCAGGUCUCUGGGCUGUAACUGACGCUGAGGAGCGAAAGCAUGGGGAGCGAACAGGAUUAGAUA